AGUCCAUGAUAUGGGUAUCUCCUAAGACAACUCCUUGAAUCUUUCCCAUGCUUCAUUUAAUGAUUCAUUAUUCAUAUGUAUAAAAUUAGUAAUAUCGUUACGCAUCUU